rnacentral:rRNA from 1 species
AAUAGCGGAGGAAAAGAAACCAACAGGGAUUGCCUUAGUAGCGGCGAGUGAAGCGGCAAGAGCUCAAAUUUGAAAUCUGGUACUUUCAGUAUCCGAGUUGUAAUUUGAAGAAAGUUAUCUUGGAGUUGGCCCUUGUCUAUGUUCCUUGGAACAGGACGUCACAGAGGGUGAGAAUCCCGUGCGAUGGGGUGCCCAUUCUAUGUAAGAUACUUUCGACGAGUCGAGUUGUUUGGGAAUGCAGCUCUAAGUGGGUGGUAAAUUCCAUCUAAAGCUAAAUAUUGGCGAGAGACCGAUAGCGAACAAGUACAGUGAUGGAAAGAUGAAAAGAACUUUGAAAAGAGAGUGAAAAAGUACGUGAAAUUGUUGAAAGGGAAGGGUAUUUGAUCAGACUGAUAUUCAGUUAACACUGUUCCUUGUGGAUGGUGCUCUAGCUUUUUAUUGGGCCAGCAUCAGUUUAGGUGGCAGGAUAAGAACUGUUGAACGUGGCUCUUCGGAGUGUUAUAGCUUCAGUUGAUACUGCCUAUCUAGACUGAGGUCUGCGGCUUGCCUAGAUGCUGCGAAGACUGCCGUA